rnacentral:rRNA from 1 species
AUGCACGCUGGCGGCGUGCCUAAUCCCUGCCAGUCGAGCGAACAGAUGAGGAGCUUGCUCCUCUGACGUUAGCGGCGGACGGGUGAGUAACACGUGGAUAACCUACCUAUAAGACUGGGAUAACUUCGGGAAACCGGAGCUAAUACCGGAUAAUAUAUUGAACCGCUUGGUUCAAUAGUGAAAGACGGUUUUGCUGUCACUUAUAGAUGGAUCCGCGCCGCAUUAGCUAGUUGGUAAGGUAACGGCUUACCAAGGCAACGAUGCGUAGCCGACCUGAGAGGGUGAUCGGCCACACUGGAACUGAGACACGGUCCAGACUCCUACGGGAGGCAGCAGUAGGGAAUCUUCCGCAAUGGGCGAAAGCCUGACGGAGCAACGCCGCGUGAGUGAUGAAGGUCUUCGGAUCGUAAAACUCUGUUAUUAGGGAAGAACAAAUGUGUAAGUAACUAUGCACGUCUUGACGGUACCUAAUCAGAAAGCCACGGCUAACUACGUG